GGAAUAUAAGAACAUGUCUCUUAACUUUAAUUAAAAAAAAUUAAGAACUGGCUCCUAAAUAAGAGUUUUAAGAGCCGGUUCUUAGCUUUUUUAGUUAAAAAUUAAAAGACGGGUUCUUAUAUUCC
rfam:Brassica napus, WGS project CCCW01000000 data, contig: 1414